rnacentral:rRNA from 1 species
CCUUUAGAGAGAGAGUGACGGGCGAUAUGUGCACAUCCCAGAGCCAAAUUCAAUAUACGAUUCUAAAAUAUAUUUACUAACAAAUCCACCUUCCUAAAAGAUUACACUUUUUAUCCGUAUAAAUAACAUUUAUUGUAGCUCAUCUACUCUUAAUCAUAGACUACACCUUGACCUGAAGUAAAAGAACUAUCUUUAGAGAAAACACCCUUUUAGAGUAAUCUGACAACGGCGGUAUAUAGGUGAAUUAACUAGACCAAGAAAGAUAUAAUGAGGGGUAUCAAUUAUGUGACAAGCUCCUCUGUUAGGUUAGGAUGCCGCCAAAGUCUUUGGGUUUGAAGAAUUUCUUUUACUACCCUAACAUAUGUAUACUAGUAUAGCAGGGUAUCUAAUUCCCUGGGUUUAUAUUCUAGUGUUAAUAGAUAAGAAACAUAAAAGAGCAGAGUUAGAAAUACUACUUGAUGGAUUUCACCCCUUAAGGAGUCAUAGAGCCCCCCGCUCUAUAUCAUUAACCAAUAUCUAAAUGUCAUUAUUGAUUUCAUUUGAGUCCUAC